GCUUUUGGUUCAGUGGUAGAAUGCUCGCCUGUCAUUCGGGCGCCCCGGGUUCGAUAUCCGGCCGAUGCA